AAUCAAAGUAGUACAAUGGCAUUGAACUUGAAUUAUCAAUCAAAACCAUAUAAUUCAAUAAUUUUUUUUACGUAAUUUUGUGUUUUGAAAACCUGCUAAAAUUGAAGUCAUCCUACUUAUCUGCAAAGAAACAUUUUCGAACCAAUUUUCGUUAUGAUCAAAAAUGUUUAGAAAGUUUCCUUUUUAAUUUCUUUCGCUAUCGGUGGGUGUGUACCAAGAUAUUUUGCUUUUUGUUGUAGACGUCAUCCCAGUUCAAUUCCUUAAACCAUCGAUGCCUCUUAACGUCAUCAGCCCCAUUCUAAAAAAGAUAAAAUGAAAAAACAAAGAUGAUAAUAAUCUAUAUAUGAACACACGGAAUGCGAAUACUAACAAUAUAAAUAAAUUUAGAACGCAAAUGAAAAGAAAACAUAAUUCUAUAUUCAAUGGCCGCAACAAUAAUUAAUUUUCAGCUUGACAUUCAGAAGUAUAUUGCAAUGGUCAAACCUAAUACAAGCAGAUUAAUUGGUCUGAGUUUUUUUUAAUUCUUAGUAAUUGUCAAUUGUUAACAUCAUAUAAAUGAGCAAUAUUCUACACUUCA